rnacentral:sRNA from 2 species
CGAUGUUGGUAGAUGUAAAUAAACGGUGGAGCGGCUGCAAAAGAUCCGCCUCGCUGGGUAAAAUCAGGAUGUGCCGCGGAACCCGCUCCUCAGCUACUCAAACUUCGGAGACGCGGGCAACGCAGGUGCUAAUGUCUAAAGGGCCGGCUGCAACCGGCCC